GUCCUGAUGUUCCUGUCCAAACCAGGCUAGAUGAGACAGCUGACUUUGAAGUUUAAGACAAAGUGAAGAGUUUGUACAGUUAGGUGUGUCCUGACGUUCCUGUACUGACUGGGAAAAAACUGCGAUGAAGGCUGAGCAAACAAGUUGACCUGCAGAAAGAAACGAAGACAGCAAAGCAGUGAGAGAAGACAGUGGGCACUUAUGCGGACCCGGAGACUGGACUGCAG